rnacentral:tRNA from 1 species
GGACCAUUGGCGCAAUGGCUAGCGUGUUCGAUUCCAGUCCGAAAGGCAAGAGACCUAGGACUCGCUCAAUAUUCACUUCGCAAGAUACUGACCAAUAAUACAGGUUGUCUGUUCGAGUCAGACAUGGUUCA